rnacentral:rRNA from 1 species
UACAGAGGGGGCAAGCGUUAUUCGGAAUUAUUGGGCGUAAAGGGCGCGUAGGCGGCCUUUCAAGUGACGGGUGAAAGCCCUCGGCUUAACCGAGGAACUGCCUGUCAGACUGGAAGGCUUGAGACCGGGAGAGGUGAGUGGAAUUCCCAGUGUAGCGGUGAAAUGCGUAGAUAUCUGGAGGAACACCGGUGGCGAAGGCGGCAUCCUGGACCGACACUGACACUGAGGAGCGAAAGCCAGGGGAGCAAACGGG